UUUUUUUUUUUUUUUUAAGAUUGUGGAGCAUUUUUCAAAAGUCCCACUCACUGUUUAAUGAAAUUUUUAAUUACAUGUUUGUCUAUUUGUAAAAUAAAUAAAGACCUUAAUAGAUAUAUAAUAAUAAUGUUGUAUUUUAUGCAGGUGUUUUUAAAUUUGAUUGAGGUCUCGAAAAAGUAUGUGAUGUAAAUUAAAAUGGAUCAAACCUAUGGAUCAAAUCCAUGGAUCAAACCUAUGUACCCCCGCCCCCCCCCCCCCCCCCGGGUACCAAACCUAUGGAUCACUGAAAAGGUUGAGGGGAUGAGACCAGUAAAAUGGAUACUUCUAGAAGGCAAGCGACUGAGCUCUUGUGUUGUCCCGUCGAAUCCAAUUGAAAUUUUUAUUUUAUUUUUAAUACGGAACAGUCAUGUAUUUCUUAUGUUAGAUGUAGCAGAUCAAAUUAUAUCACGAUCAUGCCCUUAG
rnacentral:lncRNA from 1 species